GACGAACGCUGGCGGCGUGCUUAACACAUGCAAGUCGAACGGAAAGGCUCUGCCUUUGUGGGGUGCUCGAGUGGCGAACGGGUGAGUAACACGUGAGUAACCUGCCCUUGACUUUGGGAUAACUUCAGGAAACUGGGGCUAAUACCGGAUAGGAGCUCCUGCUGCAUGGUGGGGGUUGGAAAGUUUCGGCGGUUGGGGAUGGACUCGCGGCUUAUCAGCUUGUUGGUGGGGUAGUGGCUUACCAAGGCUUUGACGGGUAGCCGGCCUGAGAGGGUGACCGGCCACAUUGGGACUGAGAUACGGCCCAGACUCCUACGGGAGGCAGCAGUGGGGAAUAUUGCACAAUGGGCGGAAGCCUGAUGCAGCAACGCCGCGUGCGGGAUGACGGCCUUCGGGUUGUAAACCGCUUUCGCCUGUGACGAAGCGUGAGUGACGGUAAUGGGUAAAGAAGCACCGGCUAACUACGUG
rnacentral:rRNA from 1 species